GUUUGAUGCCGGGCAGCUGCAUUAUAAAUACGUCUGAGGCGACUUAACCAUCUACCACCAAAAUGCAUAAAUUAUUCCGCGUGGUAGUUACGAUCGUUGUGAUUAUUAGUUACGUUCCAUUGGAAGCACUCGCUGAUGGUGAACUACAAGAAAUGGCCGAUAUUGUGAAAAAUAUGGAUACCACCCGUCUCUGUGACCGUGAUUGCAAACCAGUGGUACGGGUUUCUGGCACUCACCUGACUGUUUCUUACGAAACACAAUUUACUUACGGUGAAGAUACUGACGCCCUGUGCAAAUGCAUGUACGAUUACAUGAAGGCUGCAGUAGGUGACGCUAAGUCAGACUGCAAGGUAACAAGUACUCAGCUUGCAAUCGUGUUUAAUGGAGAAUACGAUCCACAUAAAACACCAUUACCGUCGCUGACAACAUUGGCGAGUGUGUUGUCACACUAUGAUAAGCCA